rnacentral:rRNA from 1 species
UAGCUAGUUGGUGGGGUAAGGGCCUACCAAGGCGACGAUCGGUAGCUGGUCUGAGAGGAUGGCCAGCCACACUGGAACUGAGACACGGUCCAGACUCCUACGGGAGGCAGCAGUGGGGAAUAUUGGACAAUGGGGGCAACCCUGAUCCAGCAAUGCCGCGUGUGUGAAGAAGGCCUGAGGGUUGUAAAGCACUUUCAGUGGGGAGGAGGUUUGAUUGGUUAAGAGCUGAUUGAAUGGACGUUACCUACAGAAGAAGCACCGGCUAACUCCGUGCCAGCAGCCGCGGUAAUACGGAGGGUGCGAGCGUUAAUCGGAAUUACUGGGCGUAAAGGGUGCGUAGGUUGUUUGAUAAGUUGUCUGUGAAAUUCCUGGGCUUAACCUGGGCAUGUCAGAUGAUACUGUUAGACUAGAGUAUAGGAGAGGGUAGUGGAAUUUCCGGUGUAGCGGUGAAAUGCGUAGAGAUCGGAAGGAACACCAGUGGCGAAGGCGGCUACCUGGCCUAAUACUGACACUGAGGCACGAAAGCGUGGGGAGCAAACAGGAUUAGAUACCCUGGUAGUCCACGCUGUAAACGAUGUCAACUAGCUGUUGGUUAUUUAAAUAUAAUUAGUGGCGC